GCCCCAUUUCCAAGUUUAUGUUACUGUAAACCCUAAGAGUGUAACUGAUUCAGUUGAUUGAUGACUUGUGGACAAUGAGAUGCCAUCUGAGUCUCUAACAUGUAGUUCAUCCAAUAUUUUUUUAACAUUUAUAUGUGUCCUGGUAUUUUUCAAUAUCAAAAGGUCCAUGGUAAAAGUGAAAAUAUUCAAUUUUGAGCUUGACCUAAUUUGUCAUCAGUGACAAGAUAUCAAAAUUUGAAAAGCUUUGGUGGAACAGUUGUGAGUUAAAGCCCAGACACAAUUGUAAAGUCAAUUUUUCAAUCUUCGAAGAACGGCAACCCGGGAACUGUGACAGCAUAUGGGUGACAGUGAAAAUCGUAUAUAUUGAACUUGACCUCCAUUUUGUCAUCAAUAACACCCGCCCAUCAUACAUCCCUAAAUCAAUAACUGCUUUUUCCUCUGGAAACUGGUUAAAAAUCUUAUUUGUAAACCUUUAUUGAGGAUAACAUAUCUUCUAGCAUAGGGAAAUAUAUUGGAGACCAUGAGAUUGCAUCACUUUUCUGUUCGGUCAAUUAACUCAAAAAACUUCUAAUCAUGACAUCCCCACGACUUCCUCUUUCCAAAACUAUAAAUAAAUGUUGAAG
rnacentral:lncRNA from 1 species